rnacentral:rRNA from 1 species
GUGCAGCAGUCGCGAAAACUUUACAAUGUGCGAAAGCACGAUAAGGGAACUCUGAGUGCCUCCUAAGGAGGCUGUUCAGGUGUCUAAAAAGCACCUGAAGGAAGGGCUGGGUAAGACCGGUGCCAGCCGCCGCGGUAACACCGGCAGCCCAAGUGGUAGCCACGUUUAUUGGGUCUAAAAGCGUCCGUAGCCGGCUGGGUAAGUUCCUUGGGAAAUUUGGCUGCUUAACAGUCAAGCUUUCAGGGAAUACUGCCCGGCUUGGGACCGGGAGAGGUCAGAGGUACUCCAGGGGUAGGGGUGAAAAUCCAUUAAUCCUUGGGGGACCACCGGUAGCGAAGGCGUCUGACCAGACCGGGUCCGACGGUGAGGGACGAAGGCUAGGGGCGCG